UGGGGAUUGGUCUAAUGGCAGGACGACUGACUCUGGAUCAGUUAGUGGUGGUUCGAAUCCACCAUCCCCAGCCA
rnacentral:tRNA from 1 species